GCAAAACAUAAGGGUUGCAGCAAUUAUUGCAUCUCAACUCAAUCUAGCUAGCUAUCCCUUUCUCUUUGAAAAUUUUCGCAAGUUUCUGUCUCUCUUCAAGCCUUUCAACAUCAGCUAGAAUCGUCAACAUAAGACUUGCAAUUGCACGGCAUUUGCUGCCAUUGCAUUAUAAAUACAUAUAUGCUUGGAUUAACGAACAGCUAGCUAAUCUUGUAACUCAUCGAAAAAUGGCCAGAGGAACAUAUGUUGUUCUAGGUGGUGGCCACGCAGAGGAACUAGGCCUCAUGCAAGACAACUCGGGGGGGAUAUUUUUGCUCUGCAUGAUUCUUAUGUCUCUCUCACUUAUAUCAAUGGUCAUAUUUGCUUGUGGUGAUGCUGAAGGAUCAAGCAAGAAAGGAUACGGAGGCGGAGUCGGUGGCGGUGGUGCAGCUGCUACUGCUGGUGCUGCUGCUUGUGGUGGUGGUGGUGCUGCUGCUGGAGGUUGUGGAGGUGGUGGAGGUGGUGGAGGUGGCGGUUGCGGAGGUGGAGGUGGAGGUGGAGGUUGUUAGGAAGAUAUGUAUAAUUAUGUUUUCAUAAAAUAAAAUAAAAUAAAAGUUGGAAUUUAU
rnacentral:lncRNA from 1 species